CGCACUUCAGCUAAGAGGGUGCGAGAUUGAAAAAGCCCGCGGCGUCUUCUACACGCCACUUCGCUGGGCUCCUGUCUCUGUCGCUGAGAGGCACUCUGGAGAGUCUGCGGCAGCCUCUGUCACACAGGGACCUGCACUGGUCGUGGGAGCCGCAGAGAGGCCCCCGGGACACGGAGGAAUUCGGAAAAUGGCUGGAGUGCAGUGGCGUGACCUGGGCUUGCUACAACCUCCACCUCCCAGCCGCCUGCCUUGGCCUCCCAAAGUGCCGAGAUUGCAGCCUCUGCCCGGCCGCCACCCCGUCUGGGAAGUGAGGAGCGUCUCUGCCUGGCCGCCCAUCAUCUGGGAUGCGAGGAGCCCCUCUGCCCGGCUGCCCAGUCUGGGAAGUGAGGAGCGCCUCUUCCCGGCCACCAUCCCAUCUAGGAAGUGAGGAGUGUCUCUGCCUGGCCGCCCAUGGUCUGGGAUGUGAGGAGCGCCUCUGCCCUGCCGCCCAGUCUGGGAAGUGAGGAGCGCCUCUUCCCGGCGCCAUCCCAUCUAGGAAGUGAGGAGCGUCUCUGCCUUGCCGCCCAUCGUCUGAGAUGUGGGGAGCGCCUCUGCCCCACUGCCCUGUCUAGGAUGUGAGGAGCGCCUCUACCCGGCCGUGACCCCGUCUGGGAACUGAGGAGUGUCUCUGCCUGAACACCACCCCGUCUGGGAGGUGACGAGCGUCUCUGCCUGGCCACCCCGUCUGAGAAGUGAGGAGCCCCUCCGCCCAGCAGCUGCCCUGUCUGGGAAAGUGAGGAGCCCCUCUGCCUGGCAGCUGCCCCGUCUGGGAAGUGAGGAGGGUCUCCGCCCGGCAGCUGCCCCGUCCGGGAGGGAGGUGGGGGGCAGCCCCCGACCAGCCAGCUGCCCUGUCCAGGAGGAAGGGAGGUGGGGGGCAGCCCCCGCCUGGCCAGCCGCCCCGUCUGGGAGGUGGGGGGGCGCCUCCGCCUGGCCUCCACCCCGUCUGGGAGGUGUACCCAACAGCUCACUGAGAACGGGCCAUGAUGACGAUGGCAGUUUUGUCGAAUAGAAAAGGGGGAAAUGUGGGGAAAAGAAAGAUAAGAUUGUUACUGUGUCUGUGUAGAUAGUAGUAGACAUAGGAGACUCCAUUUUGUUCUAUACUAAGAAAAAUUCUUCUGCCUUGGGAUGCUGUUAUCUAUAACCUUACCCCCAACCCCGUGCUCUCUGAAACAUGUGCUGUGUCCACUCAGGUUUAAAUGGAUUAAGGGCAGUGCAAGAUGCGCUUUGUUAAACAGAUGCUUCAAGGCAGCAUGCUCGUUAAGAGUCAUCACCACUCCCCAAUCUCAAGUACCCAGGAACACAAACACUGCAGAAGGCCGCAGGAUCCUCUGCCUAGGAAAACCAGAGACCCUUGUUCACAACUGUUUAUCUGCCGACCUUCCCUCCACUAUUGUCCUAUGACCCUGCCAAAUCCCCCUCUCCGAGAAACACCCAAGAAUGAUAAAUAAAUACUAAAAAAAGAAAAAAAAAUUCCCCCUUCCCAUACAAAUAUGCCUAGCUCAUAAAAGCAAUCCUAAAAGAAAAAAAAAAAAAAAACUGAAGCUGAUGGCUGGGCAUGGUGGCUCACGCCUGUAAUCCCAGCACUUUGGGAGGCUGAGGUGGGCAGAUCACCUGAGGUCGGGAGUUCGAGACCAGCCUGACCAACAUGGUGAAACCCCAUCUCUACUAAACAUACAAAAUUAGGUGGGCAUUGUGGCACAUGCCUGUAAUCCCAGCUACCUGGGAGACUGAGGCAGAAGAAUUACUUGAACCUGGGAGGCGGAGGUUGCGGCAAACCGAGAUCGCGUCAUUGCACUCCAGCCUGGGCAACAACAGUGAAACUCCGUCUCAAAAAAAAAAAAAAAAACCUGAAGCUGAAAUGAGUAAACCAAUUUUUUCAAGGUGAUAAACCCAGGGAGGGGCAGUGCUGACCUGAAACACUCAAGUGUCUGACUCAAGUGUCAGGUCACAUCAUCCUAUCACUUGGGACAUCCCCCCACCUCCAAGCUGCUCCCUGAAGUGCUCAGUGACCACCCUCCCAGAAGACACUCAACUGUGUGCUUUUCAGGUCCUUGCAACAACUCAUUGGGGGUGGUUUUCUUCUUUCACUAGACUGAGAGAAUCCAGAGGACAGAAAUCAUUUCUUCUUUUUUUUUUUUUUUUUUUGAGACGGAGUCUUGCCCUGUCGCCCAGGCUGGAGUGCAGUGGCGCAAUCUCAGCUCACUGCAACCUCCACCUCCCGGGUUCUAGCAAUUCUGCCUCAGCCUCACGAGUAGCUGAGAUUACAAGGGUGCACCACCACGCCCAGCUAAUUUUUGGAUUUUUAGUAGAGUCGGGGUUUCACCAUGUUGGCCAGGCUGGUCUUGAACUCCUGACCUCAGGUGAUCCACCCACCUUGGCCUCCCAAAGUGCUAGGAUUACAGGACAGAAAUAAUUUGGUUUCCUCCAUACCAGAAUUUGAUUGGCUGACUAGCCAUGUGUCCCCAAGGAAUGGAAACGGGUUGGAGAAGAAAAGGCGUGUCCCAAGGGAUUAGUUUUUUACAAUAAUGAUAUAGGAGACUGGUCCCACCCCAUAGCAUCCAGCUGCUCCCUGGGGAGGCCUCACCGCCACACCUCAGGCUCUUUGGGAGGAACGACCUAGGGGCUGAUAUUCACUAGACUUUCCCAAGAGACUUGGCAGCUGUAGGCAUCUUGGGCCAGCCCCAGGUAGUCCUGAAACCCAGGAUCAGGAAAAGGCAGAGGGUGGGCUGAGGUCGCAUCACUGUAAAGUUUCCAAAGGGGAAUCUCAACCCAAGACAUUCUCAGAAGGUGUCUGUGCCUAGGGCAGAUAAAAAGAGACACAAAGAUUGUUUACAGCGGAGUGUCAGGUGGUUUUUCUCUGAAACGUUCACAAACACAAAACAAAUAUUUUUAAAACGGCCAUAUACUGCCCUCUAAAAAAAUGACGAUUAAAAUACUGCCUGUGUUUGAAACAUAGCCUGGAGGACGAAGAAGUGAUACUGUUGUGAACUAAAGGAAAUCCGUGUUAUAAAAUGCGGAAAGGGAUCAGGAAAUCCCAAAUUUGCUGCCAGCCUUAGGAGAAGGUAGCCUAGGGACCACAGUCGCGGAUUUGAGACCCUGCUUCGCGUAUAUUUGGGAAACUCAGAUAAAAUACAAAAGCCCCUGGUGAGAAAGAGGGAACUGGGGACCCCACAGCCUACAGCUCCUCUCACACGAACCCCAUACUCGAGGCAGGAUUUCCCCCAUGACCCUCUAGUGGCCCCCGUACAAUCUGGGGAGACACGGAGGCAGCGGGCGUGACUGGGGCAGCGGGCGCGGAGCUGACCAGAGAGGGCGCUGGGCCUGGGGCCACAGUCAGUUGCACAGGGACUGGACCGGACGGCUAGGGGUCUCGGCUGCCGUCGCAGCCCCACCCUGCGGCCUGAGAGGAACCAGGGCCGAGGUGCGCCAGGGGGACUUGGGUCUCAGAACCCAGAGUCAACUACGAAGAGGCCCGGGUCCCGCCACGGUCUAUUCCUGCCGGUUCCAACCAGUCCCAUCCUAGUCUCGGGACCCUCAGCCCCGCACACUCACCAAUUCCUGGCUUCCAGGUGUCCCAGUCCUCCCUACGGCUCCUGCUGCCAGUACGGGUCCCAGUGUGACAGAGGAUGCUACAGACACGUCUGUGGGUGUCUGUCAGCUACAGAGUAGGAGCCGCAUUUAGAGGGGUGAAGAUGCCGCGCACCCACCUCCCUGCAGUGCGCCUGAUCCACAGUUCUCACGACCCCACCCCAUGGCCCUGAUUGGAUACGGCUCCAGGUCCCGCCCCCUGGAGACCGAGUAACAGAAGAGGCGAUCUCACUGUGCUGAGUGGAGCGCGAUGAACAGGUUCCAGACACAGCCCUUGGCAGGCGGGCUUCCUCCCAGUGCAGUGACCCGACUCUCCUGGGGAGAAAUGUGCACUUAAGCAGAAUUUCCUGACUGAUUGUACUAAUGGCCCUUCCUGCUUCUUUUUCCUGGACCAGCAAUCACAAGUGUGUGCUAGGAAUCCCAGACUCACUGUCCAGUGGCGCCAUCUCCUGGCCUUGGAGCAGGAGGGGGGCUCUGUCCUCCAGGAAUCAGGAAUUUGGCAUGAGGCUGCUGGCGACAUAGUCAAGCCUUUCUCCCAUCUGAUGUCUCAAUCUGCUUAUUUUCAAGAAAAUAAAAACACAUCGAUAACAGGAUAAAACUGUUAAAUUCACGGAAAAGCUGGACUUAUAUGACAGCAAUAUUCUAUAAAGGAAUCAAUAGAGAGAAAAAGCAAAAACAUGAGCUAGCUCAGAGAAGCAGUCUUUCAGACGCAGUUCAGCAGGAAAACCCCAAUUUAGAGGUUAAACAUAUUCCCAACCAUGGGUGCCAGACUGUUGAAAUGGGUCCCCAGAGGCCGGGUGCGGUGGCUCACACCUGUAAUCCCAGCAUUUUGGGAGGCCAAUGCGGAUGGAUCACCUGAGGUCAGGAGUUCGAGACAAACCUUGCCAAUACGGUGAAACCCCGUCUCUACUAAAAAUACAAAAAUUAGCCAGGCAUGAUGGUGGGCGCCUGUAAUCCCAGCUACUCAGGAGGCUGAGGCAGGAGAAUCGCUUGAACCCGGGGUGGGGCGGCGGGGGGAGCGGACAGAGGUUGCAGUGAGCCAAGAUUGUGCCACUUCACUCCAGCCUGGGCGAAAGAGCAAAACUCUGUCUCAAAAAAGAAAAAAGAUAAGAAAAAGAAAUGGGUCCCCAGAGUGUCCCUGCCUCAUUACCAAGUCAUGGUGAUGAGGCAAGAUACAUAAGGAUUCAGCUCUGGGAGUUCAACUUGCCCUCUUGUCCCCUCUGCAGAGUGUGGCUAUGCUCCCUCCUUUAAGUGUUAAUAAAAGUUUCCAAUCAAAAGCCAAGAAACUAGACACUGAUUUUGAAAACAUAAGGAAUUCCUCGUAUUUUAUGAAAAACAAAGCUAUUAGUCAUACAGAACACGAAUAGUACAAUGGCAGACAUAAUGCCUUCGUUAUCGGUAAUUAAAUGGAAUAAACUUGCCAAACAAAAGACAGAGGCAGGGAGAAUGAAUCUUUAAAAUAUGAUCAAAUUGUAUCCUGUCUACAGCACAUUCAUUGUAGAUCUCAAUACCCAAGUCAGUUGAAAGAGAAUGAAAGAAAAAGAUAUUCCAUGCAAAUAGUAAUGUAAAGAGAGCAGGGGUGGCUAUACAAUUGUCACACAAAAUAGACUAAGUCAAAAACUGUUAAAAGACACAAAGAAGAGCACUAUAAAAGGCUCAAAUCAUACAGAAUAUAUAACAGUUAUAAAUAUAAUUGCACUAAAUAACAGAGGCCCAAAAUAUAUGAAGCAAACAUUUUAAAAAUUUAAAAGGAAGGUCAGGUGUGGUGGCUCACCCCUGUAAUCCCAGC
rnacentral:lncRNA from 10 species